UUUGAUCCUCGGCUCAGAUUGAACGCUGGCGGCAUGCCUUACACAUGCAAGUCGAACGGCAGCACGGGUGCUUGCACCUGGUGGCGAGUGGCGAACGGGUGAGUAAUACAUCGGAACAUGUCCUGUAGUGGGGGAUAGCCCGGCGAAAGCCGGAUUAAUACCGCAUACGAUCUACGGAUGAAAGCGGGGGACCUUCGGGCCUCGCGCUAUAGGGUUGGCCGAUGGCUGAUUAGCUAGUUGGUGGGUAAAGGCCUACCAAGGCGACGAUCAGUAGCUGGUCUGAGAGGACGACCAGCCACACUGGGACUGAGACACGGCCCAGACUCCUACGGGAGGCAGCAGUGGGGAAUUUUGGACAAUGGGCGAAAGCCUGAUCCAGCAAUGCCGCGUGUGUGAAGAAGGCCUUCGGGUUGUAAAGCACUUUUGUCCGGAAAGAAAUCCUUGGCUCUAAUACAGUCGGGGGAUGACGGUACCGGAAGAAUAAGCACCGGCUAACUACGUGCCAGCCGCCGCGGUA
rnacentral:rRNA from 1 species